rnacentral:rRNA from 1 species
AGAGUUUGAUCCUGGCUCAGAAUCAACGCUGGCGGCGUGCCUCAGACAUGCAAGUCGAACGCGAAAGCCUCCUUCGGGGGGCAAGUAGAGUGGCGCACGGGUGAGUAACACGUAGGUAAUCUACCUUUGGAUGGGGAAUAACAACCGGAAACGGUUGCUAAUACCGCAUAAUGCAGCGGCACCUAAUGGUGACAGUUGUUAAAGCGGGGGAUCGCAAGACCUCGCGUCUGAAGAGGAGCCUGCGGCGGAUUAGCUAGUUGGUAGGGUAACGGCUUACCAAGGCGAUGAUCCGUAGCCGGCCUGAGAGGGCGGUCGGCCACACUGACACUGACAUACGGGUCAGACUCCUACGGGAGGCAGCAGUCGGGAAUUUUGGGCAAUGGGCGAAAGCCUGACCCAGCAACGCCGCGUGAAGGAUGAAAUCCUUCGGGAUGUAAACUUCGCAAGAACGGGAAGAAUAAGUCUGCGCAAAUAUCGCAGAUGAUGACGGUACCGUUUGUAAGCUCCGGCUAACUCCGUGCCAGCAGCCGCGGUAAUACGGGGGGAGCAAGCGUUGUUCGGAUUUACUGGGCGUAAAGGGCGCGUAGGCGGCCACCGCAAGUCGACUGUGAAAUCUCCGGGCUUAACCCGGAACGGUCAGCCGAUACUGCGGGGCUAGAGUGCAGAAGGGGCAACUGGAAUUCUCGGUGUAGCGGUGAAAUGCGUAGAUAUCGAGAGGAACACCUGCGGCGAAGGCGGGUUGCUGGGCUGACACUGACGCUGAGGCGCGAAAGCUAGGGGAGCGAACGGGAUUAGAUACCCCCGUAGUCC